rnacentral:pre_miRNA from 13 species
UCAAGCCUGUGCCCAGCAGCCGCUGAGAACCACGUCUGCUCUGAGCCGGGUACUGCCUGUUCAGAACAAACACCGCUUCCCAGACGCUGCCAGCUGGCC